UCCCGUCCUCCGGUUCGCCGCUUGGGUUUCGGCCCUCGAGGCGUCCGGGACCAAAGGGCGGCGCGCUCCGCUUUGGUGACUCUGGAUAACUCACUGGUCGAUCGCACGGGCUCCACGCCCGGCGACGGGUCCCCCGAGGGUUAAACCUAUAAACU
rnacentral:rRNA from 1 species